GGGUGAGUAACACGUGGGUAACCUGCCCAUAAGACUGGGAUCUCUCCGGGAAACCGGGGCUAAUACCGGAUAACAUUUUGAACCGCAUGGUUCGAAAUUGAAAGGCGGCUUCGGCUGUCACUUAUGGAUGGACCCGCGUCGCAUUAGCUAGUUGGUGAGGUAACGGCUCACCAAGGCAACGAUGCGUAGCCGACCUGAGAGGGUGAUCGGCCACACUGGGACUGAAACACGGCCCAAACUCCUACGGGAGGCAGCAGUAGGGAAUCUUCCGCAAUGGACGAAAGUCUGACGGAGCAACGCCGCGUGAGUGAUGAAGGCUUUCGGGUCGUAAAACUCUGUUGUUAGGGAAAAACAAGUGCUAUUUGAAUAAGCUGGCACCUUGACGGUACCUAACCAGAAAGCCACGGCUAACUACGUGCCA
rnacentral:rRNA from 1 species